rnacentral:lncRNA from 1 species
CACAAUGCCUCAUGCAUGAGGCAGUCAGUAAAUAUUUGCUGAAUGAUUUGAGUUCACUUUGACUAUUGCACGUUAGUCAGCAUACAAGUCUGUAGUCAUUUAUUGUUAAAUUUCUUCCUGACAUAUAUUUGGUGUAGGAGGAAAAGUGUGUGGGUUUCAGAAAAAUACAGAGAAUGGACAAUUAAGUUUUCCUAGGGUGUGCCGCAUCCUGUUGUCCUAAAAAUGUACAUUGGACUAAUAGAUGAGAUGCUUUAGCUGGUGCCGUCUCAAUUGCAACAGCAAGAUGGCAAAAGGAAAUGUUUCAGAAAAGCAGAUUGCUGCAAGUACAGUUAGCAAAAAGCAAAAUAGAGGAAUGCUUAAAGAAUAGCAAAAAGGUAAUGCUUGUGUUUGAACUUUAAAUUAGAAGAAAAAUUAUUCUUGUGAUUUUAACUUAUCUGCCAAAUCAGAGUUUUUUCCUAAAUAGAAAAAGUUGUGUCUUAGACUAUAUUUUUUAUUCAAAAAAUUUUUAUAGUUUCCUUUUAUUGAUGUGGUUUGGACUUAUAAAUAAAACUAAAUAUCUCAUUUCCUUUUUUUUGUUU